GUAAACCGUUCUGCCGGGGCUUCUGGAAGCAGGAAGACCAACGUCCACACGGACGUCCAGCAGAAGAAAAGCACACCUGGCAUCUCUCCAAGCCCCGCCCCCUCUAAGUAAUGAGGCGGCGUUUCCUGACUCGCAGAGAUUGACCAAUGAGACGCUUCAGGAGUCAAACCCCCCCUCCCAUCUUCUGAUUGGCUCGUUCAGCAGUGCCUCCCACCAGACUACUCUCUCACAAAGCUGAGGUGAUGACUGAAGAGAAAAACGGCUUGUGCCCAUCUCCAAAAAGCCUGGAGGCUGUUGUCACGGCGACAGAACUCUCCUCUCCUGUAGGGGGCGGUGCAGCGUUUCGUCUGCUCAUCUGUACUUUGAGCUGUAGAAGAAGACAGAGACGCUUCGUUUUUCUCAGAAAACUUUUAUUACAAACACAAACAGAGAAACCGGCGGGUUUGCUCCCCGGCCUGCACUUGACGUCUGAGGUGAACGCGGCGCCGUGGAGCCAGGCAGCAGGCGGGAGUCCACGAACGCUGGAGAACAACAAAUCAGGCUGGUGUGGAAAUGUUUUCAAGUGGACUCUCAGUCAAAUGUUCAGAGGUUUGCAUCAGUCGACCAUGACAGGUUCCCGUCUGCGGGGAGCUCCUCAGGCAGAGAGCAUUCUGGGAGAAGCCAAAGAUCUGACAGGCUGAAAAGCUCAGUGAGCUGCCAGAAGCUCCGCCUACUUCAGGUGGUAAAGGUUAAAAAUGAAAA